CAAUUUAGGUUUAGUUGGAUAUAAUUGUAAAGGCCAAACGGCUUUUGUUUUGAAAGCUUUUAAUAUUGCCUAUGGAUUGUGAGAUAUUGCAAAAAAAUGCUGCCAUAUGUACCACCGAUUGGACUAUUCGAGCAAUAAGAAGAAGAAUCUAAAAGAGGAUGUCUGUGCAUAUCAUGGUGUAUAUCCAUGAUGCUCAUAAAAGGCUCAAAGAAGUCUGGAAACUUGUUCUUGAGUAUGGCUCCAUGCCGAAAUGUAAUGGUGAAGGACUUGUCACACUUGCAGUUUGAGUAUUACUACCCAGUACCCGAAUUGGCCUUAAAUUUGCAUAAAACUGCUCUUUGCUGCUUCAAUAGUGUUUGGUAUUGUACACAGACACACACUGUUGGAUUCUUCUUCAUCUUUUGCUUGAAUAGCCUAAUCAACAGUACAUGUGACGGCAUCUUUU
rnacentral:lncRNA from 1 species